GUUCUUGUAGUUGAAUGACAGCAGUAGUUUUUCAGGCUAUUGGUCUAGGUUAGAGUCCUGGCAGGAAUA
rnacentral:tRNA from 1 species